UACGUAGGCAGCGAGCGUUGUUCGGAAUUACUGGGCGUAAAGAGUGUGUAGGCGGUGCUCUAAGUUCGGUGUGAAAUCUCCCGGCUCAACUGGGAGGGUGCGCCGGAAACUGGAGUGCUCGAGCGUGGGAGAGGAAAGCGGAAUUCCUGGUGUAGCGGUGAAAUGCGUAGAUAUCAGGAGGAACACCUGCGGUGUAGACGGCUUUCUGGACCAUUGCUGACGCUGAGACACGAAAGCGUGGGUAGCAAACAGG
rnacentral:rRNA from 1 species